rnacentral:rRNA from 1 species
UACGUAGGGACCGAGCGUUGUCCGGAAUCAUUGGGCGUAAAGAGCGUGUAGGCGGCCACUUAAGUCCUGCGUGAAAUCUUGCGGCUCAACCGCAAGCGGUCGUGGGAAACUGGGUGGCUAGAGUGCGGGAGAGGAGAGUGGAAUUCCUGGUGUAGCGGUGGAAUGCGCAGAUAUCAGGAAGAACACCCGUGGCGAAGGCGGCUCUCUGGAACGCAACUGACGCUGAGGUGCGAAAGCGUGGGGAGCAAACAGG